GCCACUAGAGGUAGCUGUGAGCAUUGUGGUGGGUGACCUUUUUUUCUCUUUCCAUUCUCAUGGAUUUUUCUGUGUUUCUCUUUAAUUUGGUAUUUGAUUGCUCACGGGGUCCACCAACUGCUUGUUUUUGAAUCUCUGGGGCUGGGAAAUUAUUUCAUGGAAUAUAUUCUUUAUCCACUCGCUCUUGAUUCAGGGACAUUUACAAGAAAAACAGUGGAAAAUGUAUGCAGAGCCCUGUCAGGCCGAAUCCCUCGUCCCCUCUCGCUAGAUUAUGCAUACAAUGUAUGUAUUCUGUACAAUGUGUAUAUUGGAAAGCGAGGGAAGAGGAAAUGGUUUCGCACAGACAUUUGAUGUAAAUCAUUUGGCAGAAUCAGACCUCUGUAUCAUGGGGAUAUACAGCUGGGAUUGUGUACUGCGUGAAAACUUGUAUCACUCUUCCAUAUGCUCUCAGGAAUUUCUCUCGCUACUUCUUUCUCCCAUCUUAACAAUGCAGGAUAUCUCCUUGGCCAAGCAUCCGAAACAAAGUGAUGUGUCAGUAUCUAUUAACCAUCACGGUCACCUUUAACCAAUAUGAAUCUCGGCAUGAGAAGAAGAAUGGACUCCAGACUAUGAGAUGAACUCCUCAUCAUCUUUCUUAUACUGUAUUUUUUUUUUCUCUUCUGUAUGAGCUGCUCAUAUCAGUGUGACCACCAUACUAGGCCAAUACUGAAAUCCUUCAUGGAGAAGGCACAAAAGAAUUCCAAGAAGCUCUUUUCCACCAUAAGGAAUUUAUUUUUACAAGCUAUUUUUGUUGCAUGUCUAAAGGCAGGUCAAUGGCAGCAAAUGAAAGAAAUGACGCCUGAAACUUCAAGCAGUUUGUCCUUGCCAGGACGAAAGCAUUGGCAGAGAGAUGAUGGGAGGUCAGAGGAGGGAAACAGAGCAGGGCAAGACCAAGUGCGUUUCAAAAACACACCUUGUGGGAAUAUCAACAUGCCCUGGAGCGCGGAGAACCGACCCAAUGCUGGAGAGCUAUCACAGCCCGUCACAUGGUGUCCAAGUCUCCCACAGCUGUUCUGGAGCACAAAGGAGAUGACACACGAAUGGAUGAUCUUCCAUGGCUCGCAGGACCAGCAGCAUGCACAAUGUUUCCAGUAAAGGUAACGAGACAGUAAAUCAAAGGAUCCGAGAUGGAAAUGCAACAAACCCUCUUGUCUGAGGUAAUUCUCAGAUGUCAAGAAAAGAUGUAAUUAGAUCCUUGAGGAACGCCAUAUGUCAAAGAUGUUUCCUAUUAGUCCUCAAACAUUUGUUUGUUUCUUAUUUAUUUCAUUCAUAAAAUCUUCUGUUGAACAAAGAUUUUUCACUUUUUUUAGACACCCCUAUUUACAGGAUUAUCUUGGAUAGGUCACCAUAUUUAUAACAUGUAAAAUGUGCUACUUCCACUUUCCCAUGACUACUGCUAUAUGCUGAUCUGAAUCAAACACAUCUGGGACAAAUAGAGAGCAUAACUCCUCUGCCUCACACAGCAACCUCUGGACCUGUUGCCAAUGUCUUAAAUGGUACUUGA
rnacentral:lncRNA from 1 species